GUGGACACGCCGCAACCCAGCAGGCACACCUUAUCCAGCGGCGCGUUCACGUCGAUCUUGGCCACCGACUGCUCGUGCACCACCGUGUACUCGCUGAAGGUGGAGGUGCCCAUGAAGUGGUAGAUGGGCUGUGCACACGCAAAACAAACGAGGCGAGUACCGGUGCCAUAUGUGCGAGACAUGUAAGCAAGCUGCGCGGGAAAGGAAUGUGACUGGCUCCGACUGGCCCCGACAGCCUUGCCUGAACCAACCGUCAAGCUUGUCUAGCACCGCACCUUGCCAUCGACGGUGAAGCGAGGCUUGCCGUCUGACUUCAUCACGCCCUUGCCUACGCCGCAAUGCAGGUGGAGAGCCGCCGCAAGGUACAGGCGCGCGUGGUCAUUGCCCUCGGGGUUGUGUCAUUUGCACGUUACACUAGGUCGUGUGCGUAACCUGCACGCCCAUGCCCCACACCACUUGCCUGUGAAAGCGCGCACCGACACGCACAGGUUGGACUCCGGGUGCUUGCAGAACUUGCACUCGCCGCAGUAAGCCUGGUAGCAGGGGAUGACGUGGUCACCUGAGGGAGAUGGGGCGGAGGCAACGGCGGGGCCGCUGCACAGUGAGAUGGAAACUGGAAGGAGAUAGGCCACCACUGCCGUCAGUGCAGCCGUUGUCAGGCUUGACAGUUAGAAGCAGAGUGCGACCUUGAUAUAGUUACAUCCUCUCCUGAACAUGUACUUACCCGGCUUCACGGAGGUGACGCCCUCGCCGACGCUCUCCACAACGCCCGCGGCCUCGUGCCCCAGGAUGCAGGGGAACCGGCCUGCAGACAUGACGCAAAUGUAUCGUUUGCAGUAGUCAGGGCAGCAACUAAGACAGAACACGGGCAAUGGCGUGUGCGAGGUACCAUGAAGCGGCGUUGGCUAAACACGCAGUCCUACCUUCAGGGUCUAGUCCGCCGAGCGUAUAGGCAUCCUGUGUCACGCACCGGCGGCCCCAAAACGAAUGCGCCUUACAACUGAACUCAAGCGACAGGCCAUGUACAGUUACACCAUGCCCGCAAGCAUGACCAAGUUAUCUUUCCAGGUGGAAGCGAGACUACAGGACCAGACUGCAGACCAGACUACAAUGAGGCAGCCCUUCACGCGAGCACACCGCCUCGCAUUACGGUAUACGCCUCAUCUGCUGAAGUGGAUAGUUUCCCCGUACACUGCGUGUCAAUCUUACCGUUUGGCACAGCGCGGUCGCCUGAGCGUGAAGGUGGCGGGCGGUGAAGGGCAAGAGGACGCGCACACAUCGAGUGAGAGGACUGGUUGGGUGGUGCGGCGGAUGGAAGCAUGCCUGCGGGAGCCUUGCAGUGGUGCGCAGGCAAGCACUGCAAAGAGCCCUUCACCUCCCCGUGUGCCCUGCUCCCUCCUUACCCUCCAGCAAAACCUAAGCAGCCUGCCGCAUCAGGUCGGCUAUGCGCCGUGCGGCCGUGCCCCAUACAUGCACACGCCUGUUCAGUGGCGGAGCCUACGGUAUUCAUGCGCACCUUGAUCUGCACGCGCACUUCGCCGGGGCCGGGCGGCGCCACGGUGACCGUGCGCACCUCCAGCGGCUUCUUGGCCUCCCAGGCGAUGGCCGCCUUGCACUCAAUGGGCUUGCCUGCAGGCAUCGCGCACGGUUCCGUGACUGAAGCGCGGAAAAGCCCUGCGAGAAAACAACCUGCCUGCAGUUUCCGACAUGGCGGCAUGACAUUUCAGGCUGUUCCGGCGGUAGACUUUGAGCCCAGUUAGCGAGGGCAGGCUUUGCGACGAUUGACACCGGAACCCCGUCGUCGGGCCUUUGUGCCUAAACUGUGAAAGCAUGAUUGCCCAGCUCUUAUUAUGAUUCUCUUUCGUGCGAAACUAGCCGUUUGCCUUGCAGCACGGAGUAUUUGAGCACGGUGAUUGAGUAAUGGUUUGGCCGGAAGAGAGCCGCCAGGAGUUUACAUGCGUCUGGCCUUACACUAAUGAGCAAGUGUCUUUCCAUGUAAUCUUUCAUGCGCGAGCAAGCGGCUCCCCAUUCCCCUGCACCUUCGGCAUACCCACGGGCCGAUUAAGCUCUUCUCAUCCAACCGCCACGUCCAACCGCUCACAGCAUCACCCAUCCGAGCGGCAGCCCAAGCACGCCAUGGAUUCUCCCAUGAUCUGCGUAUAGGUUCAACCACUUGAGGGCAGUACAAGCCAACCACCGCUCCAACCAACUCCUAUCACGCGCGGCGCCUAGAACGUCAGCACACAGCGCAGGCACUCGCCGGCGUGCAGCAGCUCAAACGCCUCGUUAAUCUGGUCAAACUUCAUGUUGUGCGUGACGUACUUGUCCAGCAGCGUCUUGCCCGCCUGGUACUCUUGCACGAGCUCAGGCACCUGUACGUUGCACAAAAUUGCAAUGCGGCAAGCACGAAGUCAUGCAGGGUCAAGUGGCAAGCGGCAUGUGUCACAGUUCCCUCACUCGACUUGCGACGUGGAAGAUGCACUUGAUUAUUGCAGGUCGUGGAAUGGGCCUACCCCGUUAUGUAGCAAAGAGCUCAUCUUCGCACCUGCACGCGGCUCUUGUAGCCGCCGAAUGCGGUGCCCAUCCAGCGGCGGCCGGUCACCAGCUGGAAGGGGCGCGUGCUGAUCUCCUGGCCCGCAGCCGCCACACCAAUGAUGACCGACGUGCCCCAGCCGCGGUGAGCACACUCCAGAGCCGCGCGCAUGACGGCAGUGUUGCCGAUGCACUCGAACCUGUAUGCCAUAAACAUAUCGCACACAGUGUGAACACACACAGGCGCGCUUGUUGUUUCGCUGUGCACACGUGCCGACGUUAAUUGCCACGUGCUGCCACUGUCACGCCCAGCCAGCCUUACUCACGUGUAGUCGCAGCCCCACUCUGUCAUCUCCACGAUAACCUGCUGAAUGGGCUUCUCGUGGUCCUUGGGGUUGAUGCAGUCGGUGGCACCAAACUCCUUGGCCGCGGGAAACUUGGUCGGGUUGAUGUCCACAGCAAUGAUGCGAGAUGCGCCCGCGCGCUUGGCCGCCUCGAUCACCGCCAGGCCCACCGCGCCCAGCCCAAACACUGCCACCGUGCUACCGGCCGUGACCUUAGCGGUGUUGAACACCGCGCCCCAGCCGGUGGACACGCCGCAACCCAGCAGGCACACCUUAUCCAGCGGCGCGUUCACGUCGAUCUUGGCCACCGACUGCUCGUGCACCACCGUGUACUCGCUGAAGGUGGAGGUGCCCAUGAAGUGGUAGAUGGGCUGUGCACACGCAAAACAAACGAGGCGAGUACCGGUGCCGUAUGUGCGAGGCAUGUAAGCAAGUUGCGCGCGAAAGGAAUGUGACUGGCUCCGACUGGCCCCGACAGCCUUGCCUGAACCAACCGUCACGCUUGUCUAGCACCGCAC
rnacentral:lncRNA from 1 species